rnacentral:tRNA from 1 species
GGGGUUGUCGCUCAGUGGUAGAGCGCUUGCCUAGCAUGUGUGAGGCACUGGGUUCGAUUCUCAGCACCA